rnacentral:rRNA from 1 species
UGGGGAAUAUUGCACAAUGGGCGCAAGCCUGAUGCAGCAACGCCGCGUGAACGAUGAAGGUCUUCGGAUCGUAAAGUUCUGUUGCAGGGGAAGAUAAUGACGGUACCCUGUGAGGAAGCCCCGGCUAAAUACGUGCCAGCAGCCGCGGUAAUACGUAUGGGGCGAGCGUUGUCCGGAAUUAUUGGGCGUAAAGGGUACGUAGGCGGUCUAUUAAGUCAGGUGUGAAAGCGUGAGGCUUAACCUCAUUAAGCACUUGAAACUGAUAGACUUGAGUGAAGGAGAGGAAAGUGGAAUUCCUAGUGAAGCGGUGAAAUGCGUAGAUAUUAGGAGGAAUACCGGUGGCGAAGGCGACUUUCUGGACUUUUACUGACGCUCAGGUACGAAAGCGUGGGGAGCAAACAGG